rnacentral:rRNA from 1 species
CUACGGGUGGCUCCAGUGAGGAAUAUUGCACAAUGGGGGGAACCCUGAUGCAGCAACGCCGCGUGGAGGAUGACGCAUUUCGGUGUGUAAACUCCUUUUAUAUGUCAAGAAAAUGACGGUAGCAUAUGAAUAAGCACCGGCUAACUCCGUGCCAGCAGCCGCGGUAAUACGGAAGGUGCAAGCGUUACUCGGAAUCACUGGGCGUAAAGGACGCGUAGGCGGGCUUGUAAGUCAGGGGUGAAAUCCUACGGCUUAACUGUAGAACUGCACUUGAAACUACGAGCCUAGAGUAUGGGAGGGGGAGAUGGAAUUAGUGGUGUAGGGGUAAAAUCCGUAGAUAUCCCUAGGAAUACCUAAAGCGAAGGCGAUCUCCUGGAACAUAACUGACGCUAAGGCGUGAAAGCGUGGGGAGCAAACAGGAUUAGAUACCCCUGUAGUC